rnacentral:rRNA from 1 species
GUCCACGCCGUAAACGAUGAUAACUAGCUGUCCGGGCACUUGGUGCUUGGGUGGCGCAGCUAACGCAUUAAGUUAUCCGCCUGGGGAGUACGGUCGCAAGAUUAAAACUCAAAGGAAUUGACGGGGGCCUGCACAAGCGGUGGAGCAUGUGGUUUAAUUCGAAGCAACGCGCAGAACCUUACCAGCCUUUGACAUCCCGCGCUAUCCUGAGAGAUCAGGGGUUCCCUUCGGGGACGCGGUGACAGGUGCUGCAUGGCUGUCGU